GGUAGGGCUAACACGGUGAAACCCUGUCUCUACUAAAAAUACAAAAAAAAAAAUUAGCCGGGUGUGGUAGUGGGCGCCUGUGGUCCCAGCUACUUGGGAGGCUGAGGCAGGAGAAUGGUGCGAACCUGGGAGGCAGAGCUUGCAGUGAGCCGAGAUAGUGCCACUGCACUCCAGCUUGGGCGACAGAGCAAGACUCCAUCUCAAAAAAAAAAAAAAAAAAAAAAAAAGAAAAAAGAAAAACUAAAAAAUUCACAAAUAUGUGGAAAUCAAAUAAUAUACUCUUGGAAAAACUAUGGGUCAAAGAAGAAAUCACAAGGAAAACUAGAAAAUAUCUUGAGACAAAUGAAAAUAGGCCGGGAGCGGUGGCUCAUGCCUGUAAUCCCAGCACUUUGGGAGGCUGAGAUGGGUGGAUCAUGAGGUCCGGAGUUCAAGACCAGCCUGGCCAAGAUGGUGAAACCCUGUCUCUACUAAAAAUACAAAAAUUAGCUGGGCUUGGUGGUGGGCACUUGUAAUCCCAGCUACUCAGGAGGCUGAGGUACAGAAUUGCUCAAACCCGGGAGGUGGAAGUUGCAGUGAGCCGAGAUCAUGCCAUUGCAUUCCAGCCUGGGUGACAGAGCGAGACUCCAUCUCAAAAAAAAAAAAAGAAAAAAAAGAAAAGAAAAACACAACGUACUUUUGGGAUGCAGCAAGAGCAGAACUAAGAGGCAGUUUAUAGUGGUAAAUACCUACAUGAAAAAAGAAAGAUCUCAAUCAAAUAAUUUUGCACCUCAAGGAACUAGGGGAAAAAAAGGACCAAUAAAACUCAAAGUUAGCAAAAGGAAGGUAAUAGCAGUGAUUAGAGCUGAAAUAAACAAAAUAGACACUAGAAAAACAACAGAGGAAAAAAAACCAACUAUGAGUUAGUUUUUUAAAAAGAUCAACA
rnacentral:lncRNA from 1 species